rnacentral:misc_RNA from 1 species
GAUUAAUAAAGGACAUGGUUGACAAUCUAUCUGGAUGGCUAGCACUUGGAGUUGGAGGAGCUUUUGUUACGGUAACAACCGACGUAGUAUUUUCAAAUGUAACUUUCAAUGGUUUAUCAGAACCAACAAACAAUACCCUUUUGUUGUUAGGUUCAACAAGUAUUCCAAUAUCUCCACAAAAUGGUCUACACGUCUCACAAACCCCAGGACAAUACACAAACUUGUAAGCCUCCUCGUACUUAUCAAUCUUAAACCAAUUACCCAAAGUGUCACGCCCAGGAUUUCCUUCAACUCCACCAACCGAAACCAAAUUACGUUGUGGAAUUAAUCUUGUGUUGAUUGUCCAUACCGUCGACAUAUUAUCGCUGAAUAUAAUGUUCAUAAACUUAACGUUCAGAUCAGUUGAUAAUCGGACGAUGUUUUCGUUAGCGUCCACCGGAGUAAAUCGAAGGCUCUUGCCUACGGAAGAUUGAGCAUUUUGGGUAACAACGAGCGUAUCAACUGUGUUCCUAAUGCUUGACACAUCAAGUCCACCCUCGUUGCUCCGACCCGAUACCGGUACGAUGAAAU